rnacentral:rRNA from 1 species
GGUGUGUACUGGUCUUGAUGGAAGCUUACCUCUUGGUGGGUCGGCAUGCCCUUCGUUGGGUGUGUCGAUUAACCAGGACUUUUACUUUGAGAAAAUUAGAGUGUUCAAAGCAGGCUUUCGCCCGAAUACAUUAGCAUGGAAUAAUAGAAUAGGACGCGCGUCUUUAUUUUGUUGGUUUCUAAAUUCGCCGUAAUGAUUAAUAGGGAUAGUCGGGGGCAUUCGUAUUGCUUGGUCAGAGGUGAAAUUCUUGGAUUCUAGCAAGACGAACUACUGCGAAAGCAUUUGCCAAGGAUGUUUUCAUUGAUCAAGAACGAAGGUUAGGGGAUCGAAAACGAUCAGAUACCGUUGUAGUCUUAACAGUAAACUAUGCCGACUAGGGAUCGGACAAGCACAAUCUAUGACUUGUUCGGCACCUGAAGAGAAAUCUUUAAGUCUAGGUUCGGGGGGGAGUAUGGUCGCAAGGCUGAAACUUAAAGGAAUUGACGGAAGGGCACCACCAGGUGUGGAGCCUGCGGCUUAAUUUGACUCAACACGGGGAAACUCACCAGGUCCAGACACAAUAAGGAUUGACAGAUUGAUAGCUCUUUCUUGAUCUUGUGGCUGGUGGUGCAUGGCCGUUCUUAGUUGGUGGAGUGAUUUGUCUGGUUAAUUCCGAUAACGAACGAGACCUUAACCUGCUAAAUAGACCCGGGGCCUUAGGGAACCGGCUGUCUUCUUAGAGGGACUGUAGG